rnacentral:tRNA from 13 species
GAGUAGCGUAGUUGGUAGCGCGUCGGCCUGCGGAACAAGAGGUCCCAGGAUCGAACCUGG